CUCAACCCUAAUUCCUCCCUUUUCUCUCUCUCUCUCUCUCACACACACACGCACACACUUUUGAAACUAUGAAAGAGAAAAACCCUCAAUGCAAGCUGCAGCAUUGCUUAACAAAGAAGAAGAAGAAGAAACGAGUGUAUACUGAGAGAUGUAUGUAACAGAAGUUGGUGGAACACUCAUUUGAGCAAGAUAAGUUGGGCAGCUAACAUGAAGAGGGAACGAGGAUUUUGAGUAGUUGUACAACCUCGACCUCGGACCUUCAUCAUGUUAAUUAACUAAUUUCCUAUGUACAUAAGUAUGUAUAACUAGAAUAUAUUAUAUUCUCAAUUACGUAACUUAAUACUAUCAUUAGUAUUUAUGUACACUGAUUUUAGAUUCUCACUGGUUUCAAGAAAAAGGUUGGAAAGGACAAUGGUGGCCUUUAUAUUUUGGUCCUUAACAAAUGAAAGAAUAUUGUUAUCAUUGCGAGGUUAUAACUUAUAUGCAUGUAUUGAUCGACGAUCGUGUGUAUUCAAAGCAAUGUUUAUUUGCAUUUUUGUAAAAACAUACAAUCAUAUUUUGUUCUUCA